rnacentral:lncRNA from 1 species
GCGGAUAUUCCCGGGCUGCCGCGGGGGCAGCACGGCCCCCUUCCCGCUGCCACRAAACCGCGCCAUGCUGCGCUCGGCCUGGCGGACCCUGCCGGCGGGAAGCGGACCCUUCCCCUCUCCCACAGCGGGGGGUCUCUCCCGGGUAUUCGGGUGCCCGCGYGUGCCGCCGCGCGCCUGCCGGGCGCUGGGGCUUGUCAACGUGGGGUGCAAAGCCCCGGGUGGCACCCAGCCCCGGUGCAAGCGGGUGACAAGCCGCGGCACGGACGCCUUUUGUGCAAAAAACUCCGCUUUUGUGCAAAACCCCUGCUUUGGUGCAAAAACGCUGCUUUUGUGCAAAAACUCYGCUUCCGUGCAAACUGCGCGGGGGCAGCAAGGGCCGGCGAGGCCAGGCCUGGUGCGGCACAGCCGCCGAGCCCUGCCCGGGCCGGGCUGGUGGCAGUAGAUGGCAGCAUUGUAAAAUACUUGCAUUUUGGGUUACCAGCUCCCCGGCGGGCGUCUUGCCCGCGGCCCGUCCUGCGGCCAAGCUCCCGCUGCCAAAGCUGCAAGGGGACGCAGGCCGUGCGGCGCCGGCUGCCCGCACCACGCGGCGGCUCCCGCCGGGCUCCGGGCUGGAGCCUCGGCGCUUCCCGCGGCCCCGGGGGCGGUGGGGUGGGUGCACGGCCGCCGUUUGCACCCUUGGGCGCCUCCAGCCCGCCCGGUGGCCCGCACCCCGCACCGGUUAGCGCCUCGCGGAGGGCGAGGGAUUCGCCCGUGCCGUGGGGAAGCAGGAGAAGGAAGGGAGCUUGCGGCAGGGACACCUGCGCCGGCUCCCUCUGGGCAGCCUCCCCUUGCCGGCUCCGGCCAGGAGUGACCACGUGUGCCCGCGGGAUUCCUGCCGCCUCCCCGGAGUCCCAGCUCCCCGUCCGGUGCUCCUGGAUCGGCGCCCGUCUCCCCCCCCUUCAUCGGGGAAAACCUCCACCCAGGAGCGUGGAGAAGCUCUUGGAGGGGUCAGGCCGGGGGGGUGUGUGUGUGCGAGUCUCGGAGCUUUUAGGAAAAGGCUAUUCCCCGGAAAGCGGCCGGGUUCCCCGAAUUGCUCCGUCCCUCCUGCGCGCCCCUUGGCUGGCGUUUCCCAGUAUUUCCUCGGAGGGCGGCAACACCGUGCCGUUUCCCCGGGCGCCCGGCGCCCUCCUCCGCCUUUCCUUCCCCUCGGGCGCUGGCCGGGCAGGGCUGAGCCGCAGGAUCGGGGAACUAGCGGGGAAUUCGGCCGCUCCUCCAAACUCAGACCUAACCAUUCAUUUGUAUCCCAGGUUAAAACAACUCCCCAAGAGUAAACUGGGAAUACCUGGAGCUUUGUGCAAGCCAGGCGGGCCGGCAGAUGCGAGUGGUUUUAUUCCGACUUUCCACCGUCACUCUCUGAGUGACCAGCUCAAACUCACGAGGGUAAAAGCGCAGAAAAGAAGUUCAGACUCGGAGAAAAAUGGGUGUAGCAUCUCCGUAACACUCCGAAUGCAAAUGCAAGCAGUAGGUAAAGCUGGAAGCAACCACAGAAAAUGCCUAAUGAGCACAGCGCCUGCAGCCGUCUGA